rnacentral:misc_RNA from 1 species
GAUGAAGAACGUAGUAAAAUGCGAUACUUGGUGUGAAUUGCAGAAUCCCGUGAACCAUCGAGUUUUUGAACGCAAGUUGCGCCCGAAGCCUUUUGGCCGAGGGCACGUCUGCCUGGGCGUCACGCAUCGCGUCGCCCCCCACAAUUCUCCGUAAAAGGAACAUGUGUUUUGGGGGCGGAUAUUGGUCCCCCGUGCUCAUGGCGUGGUUGGCCGAAAUAGGAGUCCUUUCGAUGGACGCACGAACUAGUGGUGGUCGUAAAAACCCUCGUCUUUUGUUUCGUGCUGUUGCUCGCAAGGUAAACUCUUUAAAAACCCCAAUGUGUCGUCUCUUGACGACGCUUCGACCGCGACCCCAGGUCAGGCGGGACUACCCGCUGAGUUUAAGCAUAUCAAUAAGCGGAGGA